CCUACGGGAGGCAGCAGUGGGGGAUAUUGCACAAUGGGGGAAACCCUGAUGCAGCGAUGCCGCGUGAAUGAAGACGGCCUUCGGGUUGUAAAGUUCUGUCGCAGGGGACGAAAAUGACGGUACCCUGCCAGAAAUCUCCGGCUAACUACGUGCCAGCAGCCGCGGCAAUACGUAGGGAGCAAGCGUUGUCCGGAAUUACUGGGUGGAAAGGGAGCGUAGGCGGGAGGAUAAGUUGAAUGUGAAAUAGAUGGGCUCAACCCAUAGCUGCGUUCAAAACUGUUCUUCUUGAGUGAAGGAGAGGCAGGCGGAAUUCCUAGUGUAGCGGUGAAAUGCGUAGAUAUUAGGAGGAACACCAGUGGCGAAGGCGGCCUGCUGGGCUUUUACUGACGCUGAGGCUCGAAAGCGUGGGUAGCAAACAGGAUUAGAUACCCCAGUAGUC
rnacentral:rRNA from 1 species